CUGACAUCGUAUCCCCUCCUCUCCAACAGUUAGCAGAGCUGUGAUCUUGUUGUAUCAGGAAUUCAGGAGGUCUGAUAAAUUGUAAUUUCUCUCCAACUAGGCAUUCCCCUUUGAUCUUAGUGCCAUGAACAUGUUCUUACCGGUGGUCAGGUCUGCU